rnacentral:SRP_RNA from 1 species
GCCGGGCGUGGUGGCGGGCGCCUGUAAUCCCAGCUACUCAGGAGGCUGAGACAAGAGAAUCGCUUGAACCCGGGGGGCCGAGGUUGUAGUGAGCUGAGACUAUGUCACUACACUCCAGCCUGGGCCACAGAGCGAGACUCCGUCUCAA